rnacentral:rRNA from 1 species
AACGAACGCUGGCGGCAGGCUUAACACAUGCAAGUCGAACGCCCCGCAAGGGGAGUGGCAGACGGGUGAGUAACACGUGGGGAUCUGCCCAAUGGUACGGAAUAGCUCCGGGAAACUGGAAUUAAUACUGUAUGUGCCCGCAAGGGGAAAGAUUUAUCGCCAUUGGAUGAACCCGCGUCGGAUUAGCUAGUUGGUGUGGUAAAGGCGCACCAAGGCGACGAUCCGUAGCUGGUCUGAGAGGAUGAUCAGCCACACUGGGACUGAGACACGGCCCAGACUCCUACGGGAGGCAGCAGUGGGGAAUAUUGGACAAUGGGCGCAAGCCUGAUCCAGCCAUGCCGCGUGAGUGAUGAAGGCCUUAGGGUUGUAAAGCUCUUUCGCCGACGAAGAUAAUGACGGUAGUCGGAGAAGAAGCCCCGGCUAACUUCGUGCCAGCCGCCGCAGUAAAAC